UUAAUGGCAAUUAAUAAUUGUUGUAUUGUUUAAGGAAAAAUUGAUUCUAACAUUAAAUAUAAAUUCAUCAUGCGAAAAUAGGGCACAUUACUGGGCUGUGAUUUACAACUUAGUCUAGGAUGUAUAUCACGGACAGUAUUUUUGUAUUGAUUGAAGUUUUUGGUUGGAUUUACAAUAACAACUUGGCAAUCCGAGUCUGAUAGUUACACAUUGAAAUCAAUCUUAAUAGAAUAUGUACUUCUGUAUACAUAUUUAAUCAGCGUCGCUAGCCGAGAUUUAAUUUAAUUCUUUUUACAACAAAUAUAGAGUGGAAGAAUACGCAUUCAUUUCAGACGCUCUUUAAACUUUCGAAAAGCUAGAUUUUCAAUUGAAAGCGGCUUUCAUCUCAAGUUGAAACUAGGCAUCUAUGAGCCUGUUAACUUUAUUUUAAAAAAUUUAAUUGCUAAUGAGAAAGCUAAUUUUGCAAUCUAGUCUGUGCCGUAGCACGACUUAAUACAACCUAGUUGUCAUUUUCAGGCUUUUCUAUGCUUUCUAGCUUUUCAGCAUUAAUGCUGCGUUCACUUUUUUGGAAGCCAAAUUGUGUGAAAAACAUCCCUAAAAGAAAGGAAGCAAAGGCAAUUUUCCAUUUGUUGGUGUUAGAAGAUGUACUACCAUGAUUAGCAUAUUUUCCUUCUUGCGUCGCUUUUCAUCUGUGAAUGUUUAUUUACACUCAUUAUUUUCGUCGUAACUUACACCAUGAAAAGACCGCAAGCUGUCAACAUCGCAGCUUGGUGAUUAAUCCCAUGCAAGACAAUUAAUUCUCCAUUUUUUUGGGAAUCGUCUUCAUUAAUCCCUUCAGAUUGCAGUGGCUUCCUUGGAACGACCUUUUCCUUCUCUUCUACGGUUUUGCAGUCUUCUUUAAUGUCCUUUGGUAAUUCUUUUUCUUCAUUGGGCUUCAAUUCGGACUUGCUAAGUUCAAUAACACAUUUAUCAGCAUAGGUAAGCCAUUCAUAUGGCGUUCUCGAUAUUCCCCUUUUCCUAUACGGCUUUUUAAAAAAUGGCAUUGUAAGAAUAGUACAUACACAACAAAAAAACCAUUUGGUUAAUGUAGGAUUCUGUGCUAUGUAAACAAACAAGUUCAUCGGAGAUAAUUAUGCAACUUCCAUGUAAUUCAAAACACUAGCAAAUAUACAAAUAGAGGUAUUUACUCAUUUCGCUUUUUUUCCAAAGAAGUACAUUUAUCAUCUGAGCUAGUGUUGCCAAUACAGCGCUAUCAUAUUCAGAAUUUAUAAAUCCAUUGACACAAAAAUUUUCAAUAUAUUUUAAAUUGAGCAUAUUAAUUUAAGAAAUCAAUCUCGGUAAUGCAUAUAUAUAUAAUAAUAUACAGAUUCUAUGAACACCCCA